rnacentral:sRNA from 1 species
AUUAUACUAACUUUAAAAAGAUAAAUUGUCCCCGCGGUUUACCGUCCGCAGACUAAAUCUGAAAGAGUGUGUUUUGCAUCAGAAUUCUUUUUAAAAGUAAACACUUAUUAAAGCUUAACUAGUUCAGCUUAUAUCAUU